rnacentral:rRNA from 1 species
UCUUGGUCAUUUAGAGGAAGUAAAAGUCGUAACAAGGUCUCCGUUGGUGAACCAGCGGAGGGAUCAUUACCGAGUUUACAACUCCCAAACCCCUGUGAACAUACCUUAAUGUUGCCUCGGCGGAUCAGCCCGCGCCCCGUAAAACGGGACGGCCCGCCAGAGGACCCAAACUCUAAUGUUUCUUAUUGUAACUUCUGAGUAAAACAAACAAAUAAAUCAAAACUUUCAACAACGGAUCUCUUGGUUCUGGCAUCGAUGAAGAACGCAGCAAAAUGCGAUAAGUAAUGUGAAUUGCAGAAUUCAGUGAAUCAUCGAAUCUUUGAACGCACAUUGCGCCCGCUGGUAUUCCGGCGGGCAUGCCUGUUCGAGCGUCAUUUCAACCCUCAAGCCCCCGGGUUUGGUGUUGGGGAUCGGCUCUGCCUUCUGGCGGCGCCGCCCCCGAAAUACAUUGGCGGUCUCGCUGCAGCCUCCAUUGCGUAGUAGCUAACACCUCGCAACUGGAACGCGGCGCGGCCAUGCCGUAAAACCCCAACUUCUGAAUGUGACCUCGAUCAGGUAGAUCCCCGGUCGA